AGCGCUUGUGACCAGACUUGCGUCCGGUGAAUCACCCAGCUCUCGCGGCUGGGGCACUUCGCCGGCUCAGGCCAGCAUCAGCUCGCUGUCGGGGACAAAAGCUUCAGGAACGUAGCUCUCUUCGGGGAGUGUUAUAGCCUGUUGCAUAAUACCCUUCGGCGGGCUGAGGUACGCGCUCCGCAAGGAUGCUGGCAUAAUGGUCAUCAGCGACCCGUCUUGAAACACGGACCA
rnacentral:rRNA from 1 species